rnacentral:lncRNA from 1 species
UGCCAGGAAACCGUUCCAAGCAGGUGACACGUGAGAGGGGACCUGAAUGAGAAGGAGCAGCCAAAUGAACCAUGCAGAGAAGAGUAUCCAGAAGACAGGAACAGCCAGUGCAAAGGCUCAGAGUCUACCUCAUCUGAAGUCUAAAGCAUUCGCCAAUAAGAAUUGUUCUCAUCCACUCGGGAUGCUUCUUGGCUUCGUGAGGACGAAGGUGCAGCCUCUCACUGCAAGCCGGAGGCUUCCUUUCACGUCGCCUGGGUCCGUGUUUCCCAAACGUCGGCAUUCACACCCCAGCCCCGUGCUGCAGACCUCACCUCACUGGCCCGUGAGUAGCUCUGUCUCCCGCUUGACACUGGCCGGCUUGCAGACGCUCACCUCAUCCUUGGGAUUAAGAGUCAUGAC